GAUGAACGCUGGCGGCGUGCCUAAUACAUGCAAGUCGAGCGAACAGACGAGGAGCUUGCUCCUCUGACGUUAGCGGCGGACGGGUGAGUAACACGUGGAUAACCUACCUAUAAGACUGGGAUAACUUCGGGAAACCGGAGCUAAUACCGGAUAAUAUAUUGAACCGCAUGGUUCAAUAGUGAAAGACGGUAUUGCUGUCACUUAUAGAUGGAUCCGCGCCGCAUUAGCUAGUUGGUAAGGUAACGGCUUACCAAGGCAACGAUGCGUAGCCGACCUGAGAGGGUGAUCGGCCACACUGGAACUGAGACACGGUCCAGACUCCUACGGGAGGCAGCAGUAGGGAAUCUUCCGCAAUGGGCGAAAGCCUGACGGAGCAACGCCGCGUGAGUGAUGAAGGUCUUCGGAUCGUAAAACUCUGUUAUUAGGGAAGAGCAAAUGUGUAAGUAACUAUGCACGUCUUGACGGUACCUAAUCAGAAAGCCACGGCUAACUACGUG
rnacentral:rRNA from 1 species